AUUGAACGCUGGCGGCAUGCCUUACACAUGCAAGUCGAGGGGUAUAGUUCUUCGGAACUAGAGACCGGCGCACGGGUGCGUAACGCGUAUGCAAUCUACCUUUUGCAGAGGGAUAGCCCAGAGAAAUUUGGAUUAAUACCUCAUAGUAUUUUCGGAUCGCAUGAUUUGGUUAUUAAAGUUCCAACGGUAAAAGAUGAGUAUGCGUCCCAUUAGCUAGAUGGUAAGGUAACGGCUUACCAUGGCAAUGAUGGGUAGGGGUCCUGAGAGGGAGAUCCCCCACACUGGUACUGAGACACGGACCAGACUCCUACGGGAGGCAGCAGUGAGGAAUAUUGGACAAUGGGCGCAAGCCUGAUCCAGCCAUGCCGCGUGCAGGAAUAAGGUCCUAUGGAUUGUAAACUGCUUUUAUACAGGAAGAAACACACCCUCGUGAGGGUACUUGACGGUACUGUAUGAAUAAGGACCGGCUAACUCCGUGCC
rnacentral:rRNA from 1 species